GUUUAUUCUAAGCAAAGGAAGUCAAAGAAAUAUUGAAAUCUCAGCUACAAAGUGGUUUUUGUUUGAAAGAAAUCCAUCCUACUGUUGGAGAGCUGCAGGAGCUAGAAGAUAUCAAGUUCUUUACACAGGAAGCACUAGUCUAAAAGAUGGCUGUUGCUAGUCCCAGUAUUAAUAGUCUGACUGAAGAUGAUGCACCUGGGGCAGGUCCUAGUAUUAGUCUGACUGAAGAUGAUGCACCUGGGACAAAAUUGUUACUUCCAACUUGGUGCCAUCCCGCAGAAAACUUUACAGGACACUGCAUAUUGCGUACGAGUGUGGAAUGAGUGGUGCCAACAUCGACUGAAUGAGUGCAACGAGCAAAUACAACCACUUUCUGAGCUAUACAACCCAUGGAGCUCCUACAUGCGUUGUUUUGGGUUUGAAAUAAUGAAAAAAAACGGAAAAGAGUUUCCUCCUAAUACGCUAUAGAGUCAGCGAUCAAUAAUCGGAGCAAUUAAUUAUCAUCAACUUUUUCUUGUGCAAGAGUGACUUACAACAAACACUGGUGCUAUACAGAGGUGGACCUGGGUCUAAGCAGCAAGGAUCCCAAAGAAGGCCGCUCAGAUUCCUUUACCUCGAAAAUAGCAUACGCUAGAUUGCAAAAACUGGUAAUAUCAAUAGUCACACGAUAACGAUCUAUCUUCGAUUAGCUGCUAUAACUUGGCACUCAGUCAGAAGCAAAGAAUAUUCCUUGCACAAAGAUAGAGUAGAUACUAAGCUAGCCCUGCACAAAAACUGUUCUCCUAGUUUUCAACUUGCUUGCUAUUAGAAGCUUUUAAAGUCAACCAUGCAGAGUGCAUAUCAUUUUUCGUUGCGCAUGCGUAGUAGAUUGGUCUAGCCUCGUGGCAUGAAGAAAUCCAUUCCAUGUCCAGUUCCUAGCAGAAUCUCUGGUAUUUGACACUAGAUCUAUCACUGAACAGCGUGGUAAGUGAUAAAUUUCUCUAGAGUGUUUUUGGAAAACAGUGACCACAAGCAGAGUCCUAGCUAGUAGAUCUAUAGUGUCACUGUGACAUUAAACAUUAAGGCUUACCACCCGUCCCCCCUAGGUCUCUCAUAAAAUUGGAGGCCUAGCAUGCAGUAGAGAAAAUGGGUGUGAACUAAGUUUAAUAUUAAUUUACAAUUCCCCUAAGGUGCUCACAUUGACUGGGAACUAAGUUAGGCCUGCGCCUAUGUUAGUUGCAAACAUGUUUCUGGUCAAAGACUUUUCAAAAUAGCAUGCGGGUGGCAGUCAUUACCCAUUAUUCCAUUAGCGGCCUCAAUUCGAGGCUAAGCUGCUUGCUUCCUUCUGGGUGGAGUUUGUUAAUGACAUCAUUAAAUAAUAGCUGACAUCAGCAAUAAUGGUCAUUGAUGGCGGGCCUAAAAUGAGUACGCGGGUGGCUGACCAGAAACACGUUUGCAACUAACACAGGCCUUUACAAUCCCCCAAAGUCACAUUGACGCUCCAAAACUAAUUAGCUAUUGUUCUUUUCCUAUCAACUGAUGAACCCCUACGCCUAAGAAUUCUUCGUGCAUCUCACAAUAGACAUUUUCAUACGCCUCCGAAAGUCACACCACAAGCAAGAUAUGGAAAAUACAAACUUUGGACUGAAGAGAG